UCUUGAAAGAUGCAGAUGCAAGCAUGAUUAACAAAUUGAGUCACAAUCAGUCUCUUGUCCGUGCUGUCAUUUGUUCUGGACUCUUUCCUGGCAUAGCAUCAGUGGUGCACAGGGAGACAUCCAUGUCAUUUAAAACAAUGGAUGAUGGCCAGGUUUUAUUAUAUGCUAAUUCUGUGAAUGCACGUUACCAGACC